rnacentral:rRNA from 1 species
AUUGAACGCUGGCGGCAUGCCUUACACAUGCAAGUCGAACGGCAGCACGGGGCAACCUGGUGGCGAGUGGCGAACGGGUGAGUAAUGCAUCGGAACGUACCUUUCAGUGGGGGAUAACGUAGCGAAAGUUACGCUAAUACCGCAUAUUCUGUGAGCAGGAAAGCAGGGGAUCGCAAGACCUUGCGCUGAUUGAGCGGCCGAUGUCAGAUUAGCUAGUUGGUGAGGUAAAGGCUCACCAAGGCGACGAUCUGUAGCGGGUCUGAGAGGAUGAUCCGCCACACUGGAACUGAGACACGGUCCAGACUCCUACGGGAGGCAGCAGUGGGGAAUUUUGGACAAUGGGGGCAACCCUGAUCCAGCCAUGCCGCGUGAGUGAAGAAGGCCUUCGGGUUGUAAAGCUCUUUCGGCCGGGAAGAAAUCGCACGGGCUAAUACCCUGUGUGGAUGACGGUACCGGAAUAAGAAGCACCAGCUAACUACGUGCCAGCCGCCACGGUAACAC